GACGAACGCUGGCGGCGUGCUUAACACAUGCAAGUCGAACGGAGAAGCUCUGCGGAGGGGGUCAGUUCCGAAGGGGUGAGUAACACGUAGGCAAGCUGCCCCCGGCCCUGGGAUAGGUACAACAACUGGGGGCUAAUACCAGAUGUUCACAGCUUCCCGCAUGGGAGGUGGUGGAAGGGGUUUCCGGCUGGGGAUGGGCCCGCGGCUUAUCAGCUUGUUGGUGGGGUAGUGGCUUACCAAGGCGAUGACGGGUAGCCGGCCUGAGCGGGUGACCGGCCACAUUGGGACUGAGAUACGGCCCAGACUCCUACGGGAGGCAGCAGUGGGGAAUAUUGCGCAAUGGGCGGAAGCCUGAUGCAGCAACGCCGCGUGCGGGAUGACGGCCUUCGGGUUGUAAACCGCUUUCAGCUGGGACGAAGCGUAAGUGACGGUAAUUGCAAAAGAAGCACCGGCUAACUACGUG
rnacentral:rRNA from 1 species